AUGUCACAUUUACCAUGCUUGCAGACCCCGAGAGUGCAGUGAGUUUUGAGUUUAUUUAAGUGCGAUUUCUUGUCUUUCUGUAUAUUUGAUAUGUCUAGUUAGCAUCUAGAAAGUAUUACCUUAUUUUUCCAGGCGGAUGUUGCUUGUGGAAAAUAUGGAGCUGAAAAAGGAAUGGGUCCAGGAAAAGGGUAUGAUUUAUUUUCUCUCCUCUGAAAAUUUAAAGGUUUGGACUUUACAAUUGUUUUUUAAGCACUGAGUGACAGUUAAAGAAUUCUAGUUAGUUUACUGUUAGUUAUGUGAUUGAGAUUGGAAGUGAUUCUAGUCAAGAAGUGCAGCAAAUGCAUUGUUGGUUUUGUUCAUUCGAAAAUGAAUUUUCUUCCUGCUGCUUAUUAUCUUAGAUGUUUGUCUUAGUUAUAUCUGUAACUAUGAAGUGAUAUGUAUCGAUGUAUUGUACUAGAUGAGGUACAUUCACGAUGGUGAGAGAUCAUAAAUAUUAUCUAAACUCAAAUGAAAUAGCGAGCUUAUUUCAUCAGUUAAAGAAUCUCCUAGAAUAACGUUACCAUUUGCAACGCUCUAACAAUUCUCAAGUGUCUAAUGCAGGUGGUGUGAGCUUGUAUAACUAAUGCAGUUUUUAUUUGCUAUAUACAGAAGAAAUUCAAAUGGCUCCCUCACUAUACUGAUGCUAUAAGACGUAAUUUUGAGAAAAUGGCAUCUGCAAGGAUGACACAACUUUUUCAAGAUGUUAGGAAAAACUUGCCUCUGAAAUCAAUGAAAUCGCACAAAGUGAGACGUGGCUAAGGUUGUUCCUGGAAUCUGUGUGGUGUAUCAAGUUUAUUCAUUCAUAAUU
rnacentral:lncRNA from 1 species